CUGGCGGGAAAGUGGAAAACUAUCGGCGGUGGCCCAGGCUCGGUGGCUCACUCCUGGAAUCCCAGCACUUUGGGAGGCCAAGGUGGGGGGAUCACGAGGUCAGGGGAUCGAGACCAUCCUGGCUAACAGGUGAAACCCUGUCUCUACUAAAAAUACAAAAAAAUUAGCCAGGCGUGGUGGAGGCGCCUGUAGUCGCAGCUACUCGGGAGGCUGAGGCAGGAGAAUGGCGUGAACCCAGGAGGCGGAGCCUGCAGUGAGCCGAGAUUGCUGCACUGCACUCCAGCCUGGGCGACAGAGGAAGACUCCGUCUCAAAAAAAAAAAAAAAAAAAGAAAGAAAACUACAGGCGGGGACGGCUUCUCGGCAAUUGAAAACACUGCCUCAGUAUCUGAACACAAGAUUGGAGAGGACGAAGGCCCUGAGGUCCAAGAACAUUGAAACCUGACAGUGGAUGCCAAUGGCUGUGGGGAGGAGCUGGGCGAGGCGCCCAGGUUGUCGUCUGCCCGGCAACGUGGGAGCCUGCAGCACUUUCCUGCAAAGCUCUAUUUUAUCUUUUUAAAUAAAAAUGGUUACUGAUAAGUGACCGGUUCUUGCAA
rnacentral:lncRNA from 1 species